rnacentral:rRNA from 1 species
CCUACGGGUGGCAGCAGUGGGGAAUAUUGGACAAUGGGGGCAACCCUGAUCCAGCCAUGCCGCGUGUGUGAAGAAGGCCCUCGGGUUGUAAAGCACUUUCAGUGAGGAAGAACGCCUGGUGGUUAAUACCCAUCAGGAAAGACAUCACUCACAGAAGAAGCACCGGCUAACUCCGUGCCAGUAGCCGCGGUAAUACGGAGGGUGCGAGCGUUAAUCGGAAUUACUGGGCGUAAAGCGCGCGUAGGUGGCUUGAUAAGCCGGUUGUGAAAGCCCCGGGCUCAACCUGGGAACGGCAUCCGGAACUGUCAAGCUAGAGUGCAGGAGAGGAAGGUAGAAUUCCCGGUGUAGCGGUGAAAUGCGUAGAGAUCGGGAGGAAUACCAGUGGCGAAGGCGGCCUUCUGGACUGACACUGACACUGAGGUGCGAAAGCGUGGGUAGCAAACAGGAUUAGAUACCCUAGUAGUC